AGAGCGCAGGGUGGAUGCCUUGGCACUGAGAGCCGAAGAAAGACGUGAUAAGCUGCGAUAAGCAGCGGUGAGGAGCAAAUAUCCGAUGACCCGCUGAUUUCUGAAUGGGGAAACCCGGCUGAGCAACCCUCAGUCACCAUAUGCUGAAUACAUAGGUAUAUGGAGGGAACCCGCUGAACUGAAACAUCUAAGUAGGCGGAGGAAGAGAAAGAAACAUCGAUUCUGUGAGUAGCGGCGAGCGAAAACGGAAGAGCCUAAACCGGAGCGCGUGCGUUCCGGGGUUCGGACUGCGACAUGUGAGCAAUAGGAUAACAGAACAGUCUGGGAAGUCAGACCAGAGAGGGUGAAAGUCCCGUAUGUGAAAUCCGAGUUGCAGCUAGCAGGAUCCAGAGUACCACGAGACACGAGAAACCUUGUGGGAAGGCAGGGAGACCACUCCCUAAGGCUAAAUACUACUCAGUGACCGAUAGCGCAUAGUACUGUGAAGGAAAGGUGAAAAGGACCCCGGGAGGGGAGUGAAAGAGAACCUGAAACCCUGUGUUUACAAGCUGUCGAAGCACGAAAGUGCGACGGCGUACUUUUUGUAGAACGGUCCGGCGAGUUAUGAUGAGUGGUAAGGUUAAGGACUUAAGGUCUGGAGCCGAAGCGAAAGCGAGUGUUAAAAGCACGACAGAAUCGCUUAUCAUAGACCCGAAACCGGGUGAUCUAUCCAUGUCCAGGUUGAAGCUGCCGUAAGAGGUAGUGGAGGACCGAACACACAUCCGUUGAAAAGGGUGGUGAUGAGGUGUGGAUAGGGGAGAAAUUCCAAUCGAACCCGGAGAUAGCUGGUUCUCCUCGAAAUAGCUUUAGGGCUAGCCUCUGGUUAGUCUGCCGCAGGUAGAGCACUGAAUUUCCUAGGGGCGUCAAAGCCUACCGAAGAAUAUCAAACUGCGAAUGGCGGACAGAUGAUGCCAGGGAGUCAGACUGCACGAGAUAAGUUGGGUGGUCAAAAGGGAAAGAGCCCAGACCUACAGCUAAGGUCCCAAAGUGUGUGUUAAGUGGAAAAGGAUGUGGGAUUUCGAAGACAACUAGGAUGUUGGCUCAGAAGCAGCCACACAUUAAAAGAGUGCGUAAUAGCUCACUAGUCGAGAGGUCCUGCGCCGAAAAUGUCCGGGGCUAAAACACAACACCGAAGCUUAGGAAUCUAAUGAAUUGGUAGAGGAGCAUUGAAGACGGAACGAAGCCAUACCGAAAGGAAUGGUGGACUGUCUUGAAGAGAGAAUGCCGGAAUGAGUAGCGAGAUUGAAGUGAGAAUCUUCAAGGCCGAAUAUCUAAGGUUUCCAGGGUAAAGCUGAUCUGCCCUGGGUAAGUCGGGGCCUAAGGCAAGGUCGAAAGACGUAGUCGAUGGAUAACAGGUUGAAAUUCCUGUACUGCAUCAAAUCAGAAAUGUGGGGACACAUGAGGGAAGCAUGAGCCGGAAAAGGAAAGUCCGGUACAAGCGCAGCAGAGGACAGAUAGGCAAAACCGUCUGUCAACUCGAGGGCGUGAUGUGGAGCGAACCAAAGUAGCGAAGCAUGUGGAGCUUGUGUCGAGAAAAGCCGCUAUAGUGUUUGAUGUACCCGUACCGUAAACCGACACAGGUGGAUGAGGAGAGAAUCCUAAGGCCGGCGGGAGAAGCAUUGUUAAGGAACUCGGCAAAAUGACCCCGUAACUUCGGGAGAAGGGGUGCCUGCAGAGGUAUCUGCAGGCCGCAGAGAACUGGCCCAAGCAACUGUUUAACAAAAACACAGGUUUAUGCAAAACCGAAAGGUGAAGUAUAUGAGCUGACGCCUGCCCGGUGCUGGAAGGUUACGAGGAGAUGUUAGAGCAAUCGAAGCAUUGAAUUUAAGCCCCAGUAAACGGCGGCCGUAACUAUAACGGUCCUAAGGUAGCGAAAUUCCUUGUCGGGUAAGUUCCGACCCGCACGAAAGGCGUAAUGAUUUGGGCACUGUCUCGACAAUGCACCCGGUGAAAUUGAAAUACCAGUGAAGAUGCUGGUUACCUGCGCCAGGACGGAAAGACCCCAUGGAGCUUUACUCCAGCUUGAUACUGGGAUUCGGUAUUGCAUGUACAGGAUAGGUGGGAGACUGAGAAGAUGUGUCGCCAGAUGCAUCAGAGUCGAUGUUGGGAUACCACCCCUGCAGUACUGGGCUUCUAACCUGCAGCCGUGACCCGGCUGGGGGA
rnacentral:rRNA from 1 species